rnacentral:rRNA from 1 species
GUGCAGCAGGCGCGAAAACUUCACAAUGUGCGAAAGCACGAUGAGGGAAUCCCAAGUGCUUGCACGUAAGUGUAAGCUGUUUCUCUGUCUAAAACGCAGAGAGAGUAAGGGCUGGGUAAGACGGGUGCCAGCCGCCGCGGUAAUACCUGCAGCUCGAGUGGUGACCGUUAUUAUUGGGCCUAAAACGUCCGUAGCCGGUUUAAUAAAUGCCUGGGUAAAUCGGACCGCUUAACGGUUCGAAUUCCGGGUAGACUGUUAAACUUGAGACCGGGAGAAGUUAGAGGUACUCCUGGGGUAGAGGUGAAAUUCUGUAAUCCUAGGGGGACCACCAGUGGCGAAGGCGUCUAACUAGAACGGGUCUGACGGUGAGGGACGAAGCCCUGGGGCGCAAACGGGAUUAGAUACCCGUGUAGU